CAGCUGGUACCUGGGAUCGGGCAGGACGGUCCUCUUGCUGGCGCGGGCGGCCGGAGUCGCCUUGCUCUUCUCCAUGGCCAUCAGGUAAUGAUGAAGCCCCUGCUCUGGUCCAAGCUACCUGUGAACAGCGCCCAGCGGGCCGGGCCCCCAACCUCGCUCCUGAACGUACCCGCAAGCCCGCCGUGAGAAUUCAGCGAAGAGUAAAGGCUGGAGAAAGUUGCGUGUCUCAGGCUAAGCAGAGCAAAGUGGGGUGAGGGCUUCGCCGCUAGGAACAGAGAUGCCCUUAGGGAGCCCCCUGAUGGAAGAGCUCUCUGCUUAAGAAGUUUUACCACGUUUUUCAAGAUCCAAGGCACAAUAGGCAUAAAGUUAUCCUGAAAAGGACAAGAGGAGUGUCAGAAGUAGGAAUGGCAGUCGAAGGAGCUUCGUCUGGCAGCAGAAAGCCAAAAUGACAGGAAAAGUGGAAAUGAGGCCUUUUACCCCAGGGUUGUUGAGAAGACAGGGGAGAAAAAGCACAUAAAAAUGCACCUUGUCGGGCGCAGUGGCUCACACCUGUAAUCCUGCACUUUGGGAGU
rnacentral:lncRNA from 1 species